rnacentral:lncRNA from 1 species
AAAACAAAAGAGGCGUUUGGUGAUCCCCGUGUGACAAGCAAGAGCACUUAUGACCAGGAGACAACCAAAUGUAUGAUCUUGUAUGCAUUUAAAACAAUGUGGAUGAUGCGAGAUCUUAGGGGGGAAAAUUAGGGUAUAACAAACAUUAUUAUUCUAAUAAUUAAUUAAAAUUAUAGUAAUCUCUAAACAACUAAACCAAU